UUUUCAAAUUCGCCGUGCAUAUAUUUUUGUGCAUGGCGCUUGAGAGGGAAUCACGUGACUAAAAACGACCAACCAACGACCUCGCUUCGGCCAUCUUGGCAUCUUCAUCUUGGCGACCUUGCCGUUGCCCGGCCUUGCCUUGCCGUGUGGAUUGUUGUUUGUAUUUUGUAUUAUUUGUGCUUUUUAAGAAUAUUUUUUUAAUUCGGAUACUUUUAUAAUAGCUUUAAUAGUAUUAUUAACAUAGUGCAUAAAAUGGUGUCCUGUUUUUAACGCAGUUGGAGUAGCAGAAACAAAUGUAGAUAAAAAAAUCUGCAGGAAUAACGUUUCAAUUAUGACAGAAGCUCAAAACAAAUGACUGUGAAUGAAAAGCCCUAUUAAAAGCUUUCCAGAAGAUCCUGCGAAGAAGACAAGAAAGUAUAGAUUAGAUUUGUUAAUAGAGGAGUAUGUUCAAAACACUUUUUAGAAAAAGAUAUUGACAGAACUUCACUUUCAUCUGUUCGUUUGAGAGACUGUGCUGUUCCAAUAGCUUAUGUCACACAGAAUCAGCUGAGAGAAGUGGUCUACAAAAAACCAGAAAGGAAACGGAAUAUGUGGCUACGAAAAGCAAAAGAAAGGUUUACAAAGCAAAUGUGACACAUUUUUUAAUAAUAUUUAGGAAUGUCAGCAAAUUACAUUAAAAAAUGUAUGUAAAGAUUUUUUGCAAUAAAAAUGUUUAUAUUUA